GACGAACGCUGGCGGCGUGCUUAACACAUGCAAGUCGAACGGAAAGGCCUUGUUUGUAGGGUACUCGAGUGGGGAACGGGUGCGUAACACGUGGGCGUUCUGACCCUUACUCCGGGAUAAGCCUGGCAUACUGGGUCAAAUAUCGGAUAGGCGUCAUUUUUACAGUUCUGGUUGGAAAGUUUUUUCGGUUUUGGAUGAGCUCGCGGCCUAUCAGCUUGUUGGUGGGGUUAUGGCCUUCCAAGGCGGCCACGGGUAGGCGGCCUGAGAGGGUGGACGGCCACAUUGGGACUAAGACACGGCCCAGACUCCUACAGGAAGCAUCAGUGGGGAAUAUUGCACUAAGGGCGCAAGCCUGAUUGAACGACGCCGCGUGGAGGGUGACGGCCUUCGGGUUGUAAACGCCUUUCGCUAGGUACGAAUCUUUUUGUGACGGUACCUGGAUAAGAAGCACCGGCUAACUACGUG
rnacentral:rRNA from 1 species